GAUGAAGAACGCAGCGAAAUGCGAUAAGUAGUGUGAAUUGCAGAAUUCAGUGAAUCAUCGAAUCUUUGAACGCACAUUGCGCCCUUUGGUAUUCCUUAGGGCAUGCCUGUUCGAGCGUCAUUUAAACCUUCAAGCUCAGCUUGGUGUUGGGUGACUGUCCGCCGCCUCCGGGCGCGUGGACUCGCCUCAAAAUUAUUGGCGGCCGGUACAUUGGCUUCGAGCGCAGCAGAAACGCGAACUCGGGCCCGUCGUAUUGGCUCCCAGAAGCUAUCUUCACAAUUUUGACCUCGGAUCAGGUAGGGAUACCCGCUGAACUUAAGCAUAUCAAUAAGCGGAGGA
rnacentral:misc_RNA from 1 species